rnacentral:lncRNA from 1 species
GAUUCAUGCAAGGCCCUCGGGUGAGGGACUGUCGAUCCCGACAGCCAUGCCAGCGCAGGGCCAAGAAAGAAUGUCCUGGAAGGGUGGGGAUGGGUUGGGCUUUCUGAACCCUCCCACCUCAGGAAGGCAAAAGACACAGAUCACAGGCAGCAAGGGGCUGCCAUUUCUGAUGCUUAUACCCUCCACGGUGGCUACAGGAGCCCGCACCAGCAGUGGGAGGAGCAACAUUCCAGAAGCUGCUUCUCUCUGCACCGAUGCAGAAACUGUGCCUGCCAGAUAGUAAUGAUCCAGCCGAGGGCACCAGGCUACAAUUUGCAGAACUGGACUGAAGAAUGGCUGACAUAGCCAGCUGCAGUGGCUCAUGCUUGUAAUCCCAACAGUUUAGGAGGCCAAAGCAGGAGGAUCACUUGAAGUCAUGAGUUCAAGACCAGCCUGAGCAACAUGGCAAGACCCCAUCUCUAUAAAAAAUACAAUAAUUAGCAGGGCAUGGUCGCACAUGUCUGUAGUCCCAGCUGCUUGGUAGGCUGAGGCGGAUGGAUCAUUUCAGCCCAGGAGGCAAGACUGCAGUGAGCCAUGAGUAUGCCACUGCACUCCAGCCUGGGUGACAAAAGAAAAAAAAAAUAGAAUGGAUGAUAUAAACUUUAUUGUUUACUGUGGGGUUGCGGUGGGGGGAGGCGUUAGUUCGUUCUUCUUUCUCUCAAUACCUUUACAAAGUCUCUGUUUCAAAAGAGAGCGCAGAUUAUGCCUGCUACCCCAAGUCCUGAGUCAGAAUUCAAAGGCAAAUAUGGUAGGGUGAUGAGGCAGAAAGGACUUAGGCAGCAGGAGAGCUGUGAUUGGUGGAAGGGGCAGGCAGGAAGAGUUUGGGUUUGGAGACACUGGUUGCUGAGUCAGAACUCCAGCUCUGUCAUUGCCUGUGUGACUUUGGGCAAGUUACAUGUGAUUGUUGGAGCUUCCAUUUCAUUUGCUAAAUAAUUGGGAUCAUAAUACAUACAACGUGGAGUUGUUAGGAUGUCACGAGAGAAUGCACAAGAAGUAAGUACUCCCGAAUUGAGCUAUUAUCUACCUCAAAGGAUUACUGGAGAAAUAGAAAAGGGAUAUAAAGAAACACAGCAAAGAUGCUUCAUAAAAGCUGUGGAGAAAAGGAAAUGCACGUACUAACUGUCAAGCAACGCAGCUCCUCGGUGCGGAUACAAAGCAAGGCACGGAAAGGGUCCUGCUGUCUGGGAUCUUGCUGCCUGGUCACCCAUCACGGGUGACAAGAUCCGACCUCCUUCCUGCUGCACUGAUGCCCCAUGGGCCAGCAAAUGCCCACCAAAGGCCAGGCACUGAGGUUCUGGCCUGUUUCUCUGCUUCUGGGGCCUGGCCUUGGAGACUCACCCUAGACUUGCAAACUCUUUCAAAAGUGUUCUUUGUUCCUAUGUAGCACCCAUAGCAAUCACUCAAAGACAGAAAUGACUGGGGUCUGAGAGCUGCAGCUGCAAGAAAGAGGAAGGGAGAUGAAAGGAAAUCCCGCCACCUGCUCCUUGCCACAAGAAUAGAUGACUCGAGCCCCUGCUCCCUUUUGGCCUCCCCUCCACUGAACCCCCAUUUCUGGAUUCCCAUAUUCUUCCAGGUCUCAAAUGCUCCAGGCAUGUCCAACUGCCAAACUCCUGAAAUGAAACAUCCUCUGAAGUCACAAGGCAUAGAUUGGGCCACUGUAGUCCUCCUGUGACCCCAGGAAAGGCCCCUGGCCUCCUCAAGCCUCAGUUUCCAUGUUUGUCAAGUGGGGAGAAUAAAGCAGCACUAGCACUGCCUGCCUCAUGGUUCUACUGUAAGAAUCAUGGGGCAGGUUGAAGGCAGAGGGACUUCCUCGGCUCAGUGUGCCUUCAAGUGGGAGCUGGGGAGUAUUAGCCAUGUUCCAGAGCACUGCAAAUGCGCUCCUUUAAGAGUAGAGACGCUACCUGUGGACCUCAUUUUCACUGUCAUUUUUCCAUGUGUUCUGAUUUUGUCCUAUUUGCCACAAGAGAGGGAUGGGGUUCUCACUGCGUCAACUCCACAGAGGGCUGUUCUCCCUGAGUUUUUAGCAUAAGUAACCCAGGACCCAAAUGAGGAAUUUGGGUGUUUAGAGGUCCUCUUAUGGGUUUAUUUUGAACUAGCUGCUAAGAAUAAUCAUUAAUCAUCAUGAAAUAAGUAAAUUGUGGGAUGCCGCCCAUGCAGCCUGCCAUAUGGAGUUGCCACUGUUAGAAGCAGGAUCUUCUCACAGCAAUAUCUGCCCCUGGAGAAGGACAUCUGCCAUUUGCCUUUUUUGUUUGUUUGUUUUAUUCCCUCCUCUCUCUCUCUUUUAUCUUCAUAUACCAUCAGUUUCUUUCCUAAUCAAUAAGCCUCAUGGACCAUCUACUAUUAUCUCAGUUUGAGCUAUUUUGCUUAUUUUUUUUUUAGUACAAACUACCUGGAAUUCCUACAUACUACUUAGCCUAUAUUUAAAGCCAGAUCCUUCUAAACAUGCCCUCCAAGUUUGAAGAAUAUCCGUUCAACCAGUUUUAUUUACACAAAAAGAGAGGCUUGUUUAAUUUAUAGGGAUAUGUAUUGUAACUAUCUGUCUCCACCCUAGAAAAAAUGCUGUCCUAGACAGCCCUGGACAAGUUGCUGAACUGUGUUCCAAGAAAGUGCUAGUUACUUGUCAUUUAUUGAGAAUACCCUUUGUUUAAAGAAAACUGAAAGCAUACCAGGCAUUGUGGUAAUAUCUUGUUUAGUCAUCAGCACCUCCUCCAACAGUUAGGUACUAUUAUGAUUCCAUUUUACAGGUGAGGAAAAUGAGAGUAGAGAGGAUGAGACAAUGAGAGUAGGAGGGAUGAGGCAGGUUUCUCAGAACCGCAAGCUCAUAAGUAAGAGCCAGGGUGCAAAUCAAGGCCUUCAAUCCACUUUCCAGGAGGCCUGCUGAUGAACUCACAAUGCUCUCCUACAAAAGGCCUGUGGGCUAGGUGCUGGUAUUGUCCUCAUUUUACAGAGCAGGGGGUGAGCUCAGAGAACCUUGGGUGUGAUGAGUUGAGUAAGGAGAGAUGAAAGAUGCUCUUGAACCUCAGCACACAGAGGUGGCCUCCAGGCUUCAAAUGGAUACUUUAUAUUUCUAUUAGUAACGUUACCUGCUACUAUAUUAUGCGAAUUGACUGGAUAGGUUUUCACUGAGUUUGGAAAGUAAGAGUGUGGGAUGGUUUUACUUAAACUAUAGGAUGUGGUGUACAUGUGAAAUAGAUCUUUGGGUUCUAACAUCUUUGGUACAUGUGAAAUAGAUCUUGGGGCCUCCAAGACAUAAUAACACCUAGGACCAACCACCCUCUCAGCAACUGAAGAACACUUUGUGUUUGAUUAUGCGUAAGAUUGUUUAAUCAAUCGCUUUUUUCCCCUGUCACAAUAUUCCACCUUCACGAAGUGUCUUUCAUCUUGGAUCUCCAAAACAGGAGUAAAAGCUGUAAUUAGUUGCAAUGACUGUUGUGUUUUUAAUAGUUACCUGCUGUAAUGUCCAUUUGACAGAUGAAGGGGCUGAGGCUUUGGGUCAGAGUAUGAUAUGCUAAAUGUGGAGAUCCAAGACAGAAGCUAGCCAAGUUCCUCCCACCCUGGAGAGCAGGGCUCCCGGGAGCCCUACAGGAAGCCUUGAUAUGUCACAGAACAAAAAGCACCAUAGAUGGUUUCAGCCUGUCUCCUCCUGCCUUGAGGCAGGGCUCAAGAUUCUUUCUGGAUUGAGAAAAAUAGUUGACUUUCCACCGCAUUUUAAAACAGGUAUAAUUUGUCCAUUCCACUAAAAAAUGAAAGGGGGUUUAAGAUUUAAGAUGCUACUGCCGCAUGUACCAACCUCAAUUUGCUCGUGAUUCAUGAUAAAUCCUAAAUCACAACCAGCUUUUAUUGAAUUUGUGUGUGUGUGUGUGUGUGUGUGUGUGUGCAGGGAGAGGUAGAGUAGGUUGACGUUUGGGAAAAAAAUGAAGAGAACUUUCUCCUACUUUCAACUCUAAAAGAGCAAGAUCCUCAAUGCAACCCUGUGAGUCAAACAAGAGACACAGGAUUUGUCCAAAGUCAUUACUGGUAAAUGGCAGAGCCAGGAUUCAAACCAAAGGGCUUCUUCUAAAACUACAGCAGUGUGUGCAAACGAAGAAGAGAGGGAACCCUGGCUGAAUAGCCGUUUUGGGGGAAGUCAGGAAGUGGAAACUCGCACUUUGGGGAGAAAAAAAAGCACUCAGCAAAAAGAAACAAGGUGUCUUCUUUGGAGCAAACUAAUAAAAAUAUUUUAAAAAUCAGAAGGUUUGUCAUGGGAGUAGAUCUACGGUCGCUCGACCCGUCUUCAGUUCAACUCCUAGAUAUGUACUGUAGAAAAACUCUUAUUCACAUCUGUUGAAAAACAUGUACAAGAAUAUCAUAUAGUUGUAUUAAGUUGGUGCAAAUAUAAUGGUGGUUUUUGCUGUUACUUUCAAUGGCAAAAACCGCCAUUAUGUUUGGACCACGCUAAUAUUUGAAAACAAACAAAUACACGAAAACCAGGCAACUAGAAAUGGCCCCUAUAUCUAACAACAGGACAAUGAAUAAAUGGAAUAGAACAGUACCUAGCAGGGAAAAUAAAUGAACCACAUACAGGUACAUGCACCAACAUGAAUUAAACCUAGAAAUCUAAUGCAGAGAGGAAAAAUUGAGUGAUGCCAGAUAAUAUAAGAUAUGGUGACAUUUUUACCAAGUUAAAAACAAGCCACACACAUACACCUACAGUUCAGUGAUAUCUACCUGAAAAAUACAACUUUUAAGAAAAGCCAGAGAAUGGUAAACAUAAAGUUUAAGGUAGUUUAACUUGAUGAGGAAAAGAGAAAGGACUUGGGAAAGAAGUUUCACCGAUACUGGUUUAUGGUUCUUGAGACAUUGU